rnacentral:sRNA from 1 species
ACAGUAUAAGGCUCAAAGUCAAGAAAUUUUACUUGACAGCUUUCGGUCAGACAUUAAAGGCAAAGAUAGAUAAGAGUGUGACUGCAAACGCGAAAGGGAAAAUCACUAGCAAUCAUAUGGGAACGAGGGAAAUACGGUCACACUUUAAAGCACCAGCUGUUAACGUCUGCUAACGCUACUUUGUAGUCACAACUCUGUCAAAAUGGUGUGGCAACUCUGUGCAGAGCGCGCCAAGAUUUGAAAUUGCUAGCCAGCAAAUCGCAUUGCUCCCGGUAAACAAGGUGCUUUCAUUAUUAGUCAACAUUUUGUAGAGCUAACAACUUUUUAUUGGCGAUCAAAGGUGGUACUUCUACUGACCAAAUAUUGGAUAUUUGCGUUAAUACCUAACAGGCAUUUGUAUUUUUUUUCAUGAGAAAUUACCGUGACGAAAUUACAAGACGUAUAUUAUAUGAAUAGAAAAUUUUCCUCUAGUCUGUAAACACUUUAGUAACAGAGAAAUUGUUUUCAAAAAAUGUUAAGGCAUCUCAUUAAAAACCAUCAACAAUGAAGUCAACUUAAGCCUGGUAGUUAUGAAUUAGCAUGUGUAGUUCCCCGAUAUUUAACCUACUUAAGUAUGCAUAUAUCUGCCAUUCUUUGGGCAAUUUUGCAAAGACAACAAAGACAACAUCACAACUCACUUAAUAAAUAUAUAUUUAAUUAAUUAAUUCAAUAAUACAAGAAUGUCCACUUUUAGCAUUUUUAGAAAGAGCAUUAUGGUGUUAUAAAAACCCACAAAUGUAGGCAAAUAACAAUUCUAAUAAUAAAGAAACUUAAUUGGGAAGACAAAAUGGUGUUUGGCUAGUGAGGAAAUAUCACCAGCCAUGCAGGCCCAAUAAAGAUUCACUUGUUUGGCAAGCUCCUAAUAGCGCAAUUUAACUACGUUUUAAUAUCGCCCUUAGAAUAUUUAUUGCACAUAAAAGUUAGUAUGCUUAGUCAAGAGUCAUUCAUCUUUGUUGAACAAAUUCACUUUCAAGCAUAAGACUAUAGAACUUGCUUUGCUCAGGGGCAGCCCAUCAAGAUGAUACCCUAUUGACCAAUCCAGGCCAAUAUCAUCCAUCAGCUCUCGGCGUUCUGAGCAGAUACGUUAGAAACUCGGCCAAGGAGCAGAUUUCGCACAGACCCCGACUAGCGGUAUUAAUCGACUGAAUUAAUACAUUUAGUAGCGCUGAAGUUCAGGGUCAUAAUCACAAAAGAGAAGCGCCGAUAAUGCGAGCUGUUUGAAUGACGAGCGCGCGAUAAAAAAUGCAAAACGGCCAACUGCCAUGUGCUUCAAAUGGAAAUGGAUAUGGAAAUGGAAAUGCCAAAGACCCGGAAGGGUGGCGACCAACACAGCUGCAGUGCAUCCAACUCGGCAAACAUUUGCAUAUUUGACCGGGCACUUAGCACGUGGGUGGGAGUGCAUGGGUCACACAAAUCACCUGGGAAUCUGGGAGACUGGUGAGAGUAAGUGCGUGAAAUUGAGCCAUUCAUGGGACGGAUAAUUGCUUCCCAUCGACCUGGAAAUGUGUUAACUGCGCCCGUAAACCCUAUUUGCGUAGUUAAGUAAGUGCCAGUUAUCGAGUUGGGGCGUGUCAUCCCCCAAAUUGACAUACAUAGAUAUAUAUACACACUUAUAACUAUGCUGCCAAUUGAGUUCGUCUCAAUGACGUGACGGCGAUAAUAAAUCAAUUGUCUAGCGGUUUAUUUAAAGCCAAUUUUGUUGCUGGAAAUGGGCACACAGAAAGAAAUCGUAUUGAAACUUAAUAAACAUAUUAUUUUUACAAAUUAUAUCAAAUUUUAAAAGGGUCUUAUGGAAUUAGUUUUACUGAUUUUUUAAGCAUUCCCUUAUAGAGAUGCUUUCCUAGAUAUAACACAGUAUCAAAACAAAGUAGAGAGGAUGACGUAAAAUCUAAUUAACCUUAGUUAUCACUGAAAGGUCAAAGCACAUAAUAAAGAUAUAAACUCCAUCGUGCGGUCUAAAAAUCGCGACACAAUAUAUAUAUAUACAUAUAUAGAGCAUAUAUACAUUUUUUAGAAAUUCAUUCAUUCCAAUUCAUUCCAAAAACUUUCAGUGGCAUAAAAUCAUCUUUCCAUAAAAUUGUUAAUAAUUUAUGAUGAUGAACUAGAGUCUAUGUUCUAUGUAAGUUCGUUAAGUUCUAAACAUAUACAGACAUAAUAGUAAUUGAAAAAAUCGAAA